CUCUAUAUUAAUUAAUAAACGUCGUAAAGUUAAAUUCCCCAUUAAGAUUUGCGGGGGACAACGUCCUGAACCCAUAGAUCCACCUAGGCUCCUUUUACAAUAAUGUAUUGACAAUCUCUUUUGCCUGACAAGUUGUGAAUGUGGCGUGAGAUUGAUGUGUCAAGGUGGGCCUUUAUUGAAUGUACAUGUUGCAAAAUCCUUCUGCGGAACUGUUGAAUAGUUUUGCCGAUAUAUUGGAUGCCAUAAGAGCAGCUUGCCAGAUAAAUAACAUUAGCAAAAGAACAAUUUAUUAAAGAUUUGAGUUUCAUUGACUUGUUGGCAACAACAUUUUAAACUUCUUUGGUCGGUACAAUAAAGUUGCAGGCCUUGCAAUGGCCGCAACGAUAAACACCGCGAGUGGGUUUUAGCCAGAUUGCAGAUUGAUGUAACAGAGCAGGAUGGCUGUGUACAAACAUGUCACAAAAAUCAGGAGCUCUUCUGGCUGUCAUAGAUGGUAAUGUAACAGGGCCAGACUGGGAAUGAAAAAAAGCCCUGGAAAAUAAACCUAUAUCAGCCCAAUAAUGCGUGAUGCCAGCAUAGUGUGCAGAUAUGGAAGUGGAAGAGAGAACUUGAAAUUUAAAACUAAACAAUAUUACUCCAACGUGAAAGAAAGCACUCAUAUGGCUUCAAAAUAAACAAAAGAGUGAAUUUAUUUUAAGCAUUUGGAUAUGUAUGCAUUUGCAUAUAGUCAAUGUUUCAGUCCAACUACCUCGACAUAUUAAGAACUGUUUGGUAAUGGGACUGAAAUGGUGAAUGUCUGCUAAACUGGUGUAUCUUGUUUAUUUUUAGGUCCUAUGAGUGUGCUCUUCACUUUAGCUGAGAUUAUCAGAGGAAACCAUUGGAAGGCUAUAACGCAUCCUAAAUGAUGGCAGAUCUUCCACCCAGGGACGCAGGCAUACUUUAAUAGGACGCAAAUUUAGUUUUUGUUUCAAUAAAUGUUGUUGAUGUACAAUGUGAGGCAUUUUGUAAUUCUGCCACUGCCCAAGUGCAUAUGUAUUGCAACACCAUUAUUACAAAAUAACAGUUUGAAUUUCUGCUAGAGGACAUGUAUAAUGAGGUCAUAAUGACAGAAUCCUGACAUUGAACUCCUGUAAGUAAAUGUGCACUGUUAGGUCACCAUUACAGACAUAUACCACUGACAUCAUGUAAAUUAAUCUGUUGUGAUGUCCACAUUACAGAAUAACAGCUUUCAGCUUCAUUAAGUGAAAAUCUAUUAUUCAAUCAAAUUUUUUAAAUAUGGCCACUGUGAGUCAAUGCACAAUUAGAUGACUCCUC